AGUGAACGCUGGCGGUAGGCCUAACACAUGCAAGUCGAACGGCAGCACAGUAAGAGCUUGCUCUUACGGGUGGCGAGUGGCGGACGGGUGAGGAAUACAUCGGAAUCUACUUUUUCGUGGGGGAUAACGUAGGGAAACUUACGCUAAUACCGCAUACGACCUACGGGUGAAAGCAGGGGAUCUUCGGACCUUUCGCGAUUGAAUGAGCCGAUGUCGGAUUAGCUAGUUGGCGGGGUAAAGGCCCACCAAGCCGACGAUCCGUAGCUGGUCUGAGAGGAUGAUCAGCCACACUGGAACUGAGACACGGUCCAGACUCCUACGGGAGGCAGCAGUGGGGAAUAUUGGACAAUGGGCGCAAGCCUGAUCCAGCCAUACCGCGUGGGUGAAGAAGGCCUUCGGGUUGUAGAGCCCUUUUGUUGGGAAAGAAAAGCAGCAGGUUAAUACCCCGCUGUUCUGACGGUACCCAAAGAAUAAGCACCGGCUAACUUCGUG
rnacentral:rRNA from 1 species